rnacentral:rRNA from 1 species
AUUGAACGCUGGCGGCAGGCUUAACACAUGCAAGUCGAGCGAGCGGCGGACGGGUGAGUAAUGUCUGGGAACCUGCCUGAUGGAGGGGGAUAACUACUGGAACCGGUAGCUAAUACCGCAUACCAUCAGAUGUGCCCAGAUGGGAUUAGCUAGUUGGUGGGGUAAUGGCUCACAUAGGCGACGAUCCCUAGCUGGUCUGAGAGGAUGACCAUCCACACGGGAACUGAGACACGGUCCAGACUCCUACGGGAGGCAGCAGUGGGGAAUAUUGCACAAUGGGCGAAAGCCGGAUGCAGCCAUGCCGCGUGGGUGAUGAAGGCCUUCGGGUUGUAAAGCACUUUAAGCUAGGAGGCGUUACUCGCAGAAGAAGCACCGGCUAACUCCGUGCCAGCAGCCGCGGUAAGAC